AUUGCAACUUCAUCAGGCUUUCUUUUGGGUCCUCAUGGCAGUCUUCACGAACAAUAUGGCUGUUGCCGUAUGGUUGGGGGCUCUCAUGCUCAUGGCAACCCUUCCCGCCUCAGAAGGAAACCCAGCCUUCAUUGGAUGUUUCGAGGUGCACCAGAACUGCUUCCCAGAUGACUGUCAGAAGAGAUGCGAGGACGAUCUUGGAAAAGAUACGUUAAGUGAAUGCCAGCGGGAUCAUGGCGUACUACAACCGUAUCCUGGGCUUCAGUGUUGUUGUUUUCGAAAGGACGGUAUCCGAAAUUGAUAAACAGGGUGUUUAGGUGAUGAUGGGCAGAUGAUAGAACACAUCCAUAUAUAUGAUUGUCUGUUCGAUCCACCUGUUGUACUGUAGAUCUAAUAAAUGAAUGUCUUUCAUGACAAUCAUAUUAAUUAACAAAGGCAUUAGCUGCGUCAAAAA